rnacentral:rRNA from 1 species
AAUAUUGCACAAUGGGCGCAAGCCUGAUGCAGCGACGCCGCGUGGAGGAUGAAGGCUUUCGGGUCGUAAACUCCUGUCUGGGGGGAUGAAUACUGACGGUACCCACGAAGAAAGCCCCGGCUAACUACGUGCCAGCAGCCGCGGUAAUACGUAGGGGGCGAGCGUUGUCCGGAAUUACUGGGCGUGAAGGGUGCGUAGGCGGCCCUUUAAGUCAGAUGGGAAAGGCCACGGCUUAACCGUGGGAUUGCAUUUGAAACUGGAGGGCUUGAGUGUCGGAGAGGGUAGUGGAAUUCCCAGUGUAGCGGUGAAAUGCGUAGAUAUUGGGAGGAACACCAGUGGCGAAGGCGACUACCUGGACGAUAACUGACGCUGAGGCACGAAAGCUAGGGGAGCAAAC